AGAGAGAGAGAGAGAGAGAGAGAGGGGAGAGAGAGGGAGAGAGAGUAUGUGUGUCUGUCUGCGCAGUAUAAAAACAGAGUUUGCUUAUAAAAGACUGUGAUAAUCUUAAGAAUUGUGAAUUAGAGAGAAAGGUUUAAAAUGAAUGUUAUAAACUGUAAGUAGAAAAUAAUUUAGUGAAUAUAUAAUUGCAUGGAAUUUAACAAUACAGUCAUUUCUGAGCUCCACAUACUGUAUAUUUAAAUACGUAUAUAUAUAUAUAUGACGGUAACAGCAUGCGUCUGUCGCGCGCCGGGCCUUCGAUCAGUCAAACAGAGUCAGCGGUGCGACAGGUGCGUUGGAAGCUGUGAGUUUGUCACAGGUGUACACACGGGGAAAUAUUAUAGAGGAAACAUUUUUAUAAUAUCGCCAAAGCGAACAUAAUAGUGCAAGAGAGGUAGAGAGAAACAGAGAGAGAGGGAGAGAGUGUGUGAGAGCAAUUUAGUAUAUGGACUUCUACGACAACGGGGUAACGCCGCCGCUCUACAAGGUAAAUCUUAAUUAAUCGACGUCGCUACUCGAGUUAGAUUGAACAGCAAUUAAGUCGGAUUGCGACAGACGCUGGAAAUAUACAACAAUUUGGAGUUAAAUUAGCGGCCUAACUGUGUCGAGCGUCCGUCAUUUAUUCAUGAAGACGCCAAGAGACGCGACAAUACGGACAUAGCGUCGCAAUCACACGCGCAGUUAAGCCAGGCGUCUAUUUAAUGCGUCCCCCGUUACUGUUGCAGGCCAUUCGGUGUACGGCAAUCGGCUGCCAGUGCGACUGCUUCUCUCCGUCCAAAUCUGCUCGAAUCUGUAAUUCGUGCAAGCAUACCUGGGUGACCCACGGUAAGUGGACGCAGGUGAGACUCGUCGGCGACAUCAAACGCUUAUUUUCCUAACUGAAAUUCGAUUGACGACAAACUCGGGGGCGAUGCCUAUCGGGGGACCGAAUGCGGUGAGAUGUGCGUUUUAGUGCGUCGGCUCGAGACCUGACGUAAUUCACUCACAUUCUAACGUUUGUCAUGAAUUAUGCACCACUUUUGCCUACUGAUGUAAAGUGACGCCCCGAUUGCGUCGUUCUCCGAGGCUAAUUAUCAAUCGAGGUCGCUGCGGUCUCCACCUAAUUUCUAAUCAUUUCAUCCUUACUCCUCAUUUCUAUACAGCCGUCGACAAGCUACAAUUGUCUGGUAGCCUCGUAGAGCCUGUUCAGGCAUCGGUCGUCUUCGAUUUAGCUUCUCUAAUCCUCUACGGCGCCCACGCGACGCCUAUACGGUCCAAAAUUCUGCUUGAUCGUCUUUUCUCCGUGCUCUCGCACGAAGAAGUCAUCCGAAUCCUAGCCAGAUUCGGCUGGACUUAUGAAGAUUACGCCAGAGGCUACGUUCUACAGGAUCAAAGCGGUCGCGUGCUCGAUAAAUGGACGAUGGCUACAAGGGAGGAAGAGAAUUCAAUUUUGCAGCAGUUCCUUCGUUUCGGCGAAACAAAGUCGAUAGCUCAAGACAUCAUAAACCAAGAAGCGAAAGAUGCCCUUACACCCCAGGCAUCGCCGAAUAAGGCUAACGACGUAGACAUAAAACAGUUGAUAGAGCGAACGAGUUUAGCACAGCAUAACUUCUUCAGGCAAUACGACCCGCGAUUGUUCGCUGCCGCCCAUCCUGCUCAUUUUGCUGCCAUGGCGGCAGCAAGAUUUUUCCCGUUUGCGCAAAAUAGCGAACAAUUAAAAGAAGAGGUUAAAGUUUCUGACAAAGAGGUCGAUCAGCAUAGUACUUCUCCAACAUCCUCUAGUUCUCCACUAAAUAAGCUACAGACUAUGCAGCCUUUUGAUUUUAGACGAAAUUCUUCCCCCGAUACGGCAGCUAGCGAUAUGUCAAUGAGUCCUGCCACUUCUCCUAUAUCUUUCCCAAAGCCUGUUGUUAGGCUGGCAGAACCGAGAUACCCUCAAGUUCACGAUCAGCCCAGUGAAGAGGCUUUAGAUCUAUCAGGUAAAGGGUCAGAAGAUGGUAAUAAUAAUGGACGAAUUGAUUUAAAUGACAAGAGACAUGCAAGGAAAUCAGCAACUCCUAUAAAGAGACAAUGGAAUCCUACCCCUGCUUUUGGUUCAACUCUAAUUUCACCUUCUGGAAAGAAACGGGUACUAUGUACUGCUUGUAAUAAGACAUUUUGCGAUAAAGGAGCACUUAAGAUUCAUUAUUCUGCUGUUCAUUUAAAAGAAAUGCACAAAUGCACAGUUGAAGGUUGUAAUAUGAUGUUCAGUUCGAGAAGGUCUAGAAAUAGGCACUCAGCUAACCCAAAUCCAAAACUACAUUUACCCCAAAAGAAAAAAGAACUGCCUGAUGGGGCAAGAAUAGUAGACGAUGGAACAACGAAGACUUCUUUACCAUCAAGUUUAUUAACACCUCCUCCGACUCUCUCGUCUAUUAUGCCAUUAUCGGUUCGAACUGGUGAAGGAGUGACGCCUCCUUUAACCUAUUUAGAGGCUUCGGCGUUCGCGGCGCCUGCGGCAAAACUCGCUCGCCUAUCGACAAAUACCGAUGAAGAAGUAAAAGAGGUUGAGAAAGAAUCGAAAAAACCUGAAUCAAAACCAGAAAGGAGUUCUAAUAAGCGAAAAGGCGUGCCAACGAGAGUUCCCAGAGCAGAGGAGCUCGAGGCAAAGCUUGUUGCUUUAAUGGAAGAGGAGCAACGAAAGAAUAACCCAGAAUCAGAAGAAAUAGAAGAAGCAAAUUUCGAAGGUGUCUCUUCUGAUUCGGACGGCGAAACGGCCAAUUGGAAUUUGCAUGGAAAGUUGCCCCCAACGGACGAAAACGGCACAACGGAGGCCGACGACGAACAGCUGGAAAAUGCUCCAAAAUCGGAUCCGCAAGGGGAAGCGCUAUGCCAUGUUUGUAAUGACAGGUUCCGCGAUAAUCUUGUUCUGAAGGAACAUACAGAAAAGGUACACCCACGGGAGGUUUUUCACUGCACAGUUAGCGGUUGCGAUAAGAUAUUUUCUACGAGGAAGAGUCGGAACAGGCAUUCUCAGAAUGAUAACCUCCACCGGCACCUGGCCGCGGCCCUAUAGUUUGGACAAAUAAAAUUAGCGGGCGUAGCACUUGACUGAUUUUCUCUCAUCUUAUAAAUCCACGUUGGCCCGCUCGCUGACAAGCAUUGGCAGUGACGCGCGCGACGCCUCGCUAAUGCGUCGCGCGAUGAGCGGCGUCUCUAAAUAAAGUACGGAGAAGAUAACACACGUGGUCUCGCCCUCUCCAAGGCGUCAUUGAUAACAGACGGCUUCGAGGAAUGCGUCUUGUCAAAACAUGCCACACGCGUCUGUUCCACACUUUCUUUCUUCCCUUUUUUCUCUUUACACGGUUCCGUCUUCAAUUAACUACUGUAUAUACGCCAUAUACACGUUUAAAUAUGUCAAUAAAAUUUAAAUAUAUAUAUAUAAAUAUAUAUGUAUGUAUAUAACGCAUAUACAGCAUAUACCGUAUAUACUUUGGUACUUACGGUAUAUACUGUAUUUAUAUAUAUAUAUACAUAUGUAUUUAUAUAUAAUUAUAUGAAUUUUAAAAUAUACCAAGUAUAUCAAUGUAUAAUAUAUAAGUUAAAUGUUAUAUAUAAUAUGAAAAUCAUAUAAAUACGUAUUUAUUAAUUUAUUUAUUUAUAAAUGUGUGUUCUGCAAUUAUGUUUUUUGUCCCUUUUAUCUUUUCAUUUCUUUAUGAUUUUUUUUACGAAAAUCUUCCGUCUUCCGCACACGUGUAAUUCGUUGAACAGCAAUAAGAAAGCGUGUGUUUGUAUAUAGCUCUAGUUGCGUGUAACGUGAAUGACGUCAUUUGACUGGAGCUAUUUUAGGUCUAGUCGCAUGGUUUGCUGUGUAUACAUUUUUCUCUUCCUAUCAAAAAUUUCUUGCCAUGUGUUCUUUUUGCAGUGCACGACGUAGUAAUUUAUUGGAAUACAAGAAAUCAUAGACAAAAA
rnacentral:misc_RNA from 1 species